rnacentral:rRNA from 1 species
GAUGAACGCUGGCGGCGUGCCUAAUACAUGCGAGUAGAACGCUGAAGGAAGGAGCUUGCUCUUUCCGGAUGAGUUGCGAACGGGUGAGUAACGCGUAGGUAACCUGCCUGGUAGCGGGGGAUAACUAUUGGAAACGAUAGCUAAUACCGCAUAACAGUAGAUGUUGCAUGAUAUCUACUUAAAAGGUGCAAUUGCACCACUACCAGAUGGACCUGCGUUGUAUUAGCUAGUUGGUGAGGUAACGGCUCACCAAGGCGACGAUACAUAGCCGACCUGAGAGGGUGAUCGGCCACCCUGGGACUGAGACACGGCCCAGACUCCUACGGGAGGCAGCAGUAGGGAAUCUUCGGCAAUGGACGGAAGUCUGACCGAGCAACGCCGCGUGAGUGAAGAAGGUUUUCGGAUCGUAAAGCUCUGUUGUAAGAGAAGAACGAGUGUGAGAGUGGAAAGUUCACACUGUGACGGUAUCUUACCAGAAAGGGACGGCUAACUACGUG